rnacentral:rRNA from 1 species
UAGCCACGGUAAUACCAGCUCUCCGAGUGGUGGGGAUGUUUAUUGGGCCUAAAGCAUCCGUAGCUGGUUGGGCAAGUCCUCCGUUAAACCCAACGAUUUAAUCGUUGGCCUGCGGGGGAGUACUGUCUGGCUUGGAGGCGGGAGAGGCCGACGGUAUUCUCGGGGUAGGGUGGAAAUCCUAUAAUCCCGGGAAGACCACCAGUGGCGAAGGC